rnacentral:rRNA from 1 species
UACAGAGGGUGCGAGCGUUAAUCGGAAUUACUGGGCGUAAAGCGUGCGUAGACGGCUAUCUAAGUCGGGUGUGAAAGCCCCGGGCUCAACCUGGGAAUUGCAUUCGAGACUGAAUAGCUAGGGUACGGUAGAGGGAAGCGGAAUUUCCGGUGUAGCGGUGAAAUGCGUAGAUAUCGGAAGGAACAUCAGUGGCGAAAGCGGACUUCCUGGACCA